rnacentral:rRNA from 1 species
GUAGGUAAAUCCGCUUUUUAUGCCGAACCUAAUAGUACCAGGAACCUUCGGGCGAAUGGACUGAUCCUAACCAAACUUCCAAGAAAAAUCUCUAAGCUUCAGAUAUAUGCUGCCCGUACCUCAAACCGACACAGGUAGUCAAGAAGAGAAUUCUAAGGUGCUCGAGUUAAUCAUGGCUAAGGAACUAGGCAAAAUAGCCCUGUAACUUAGGAAGAAAGGGCGCCUCCGCUUGCGGAGGUCGCAGUGAAUAGAUCCAGGCGACUGUUUAUCAAAAACACAUGGCUUUGCUAAAUUGUCAAAAUGACGUAUAAGGCCUGACACCUGCCCGGUGCUGG